rnacentral:rRNA from 1 species
GACGAACGCUGGCGGCGUGCUUAACACAUGCAAGUCGAGCGGAAAGGCCCUUCGGGGUCCUCUCGCGGCGAACGGGUGAGUAACACGUUAGUAACCUGCCCCAGACUUUGGGAUAACCCUCGGAAACGGGGGCUACUACCGGAUACGACACAGCUUCGCAUGGGGUCUGUGUGGAAAGUUUUUCGGUUUUGGAUGGGUUCGCGGGCUAUCAGCUUGUUGGUGGGGUGAUGGCCGACCAAGUCGAGGCCGGGUAGCCGGCCUGUGCGGGCGACCGGCGACACGGGGACUGAGACAGGGAGCAGAAUGCUACGGGAGGCAGCAGUGGGGAAUAUGGCACAGUGGGGGGAAGCGAGAUGCAGCGACGCCGGGUGAGGGAUGACGGCCUUCGGGGUGUAAACCUCUUUCAGCAGGGACGAAGCGUAAGUGACGGUACCUGCAGAAGAAGCGCCGGCUAACUACGUG